rnacentral:lncRNA from 10 species
CGCCUUGGCCUCCCAAAGUGCUGGCAUUACAGACAUGAGCCACUGUGCCCGGCCAAGACCUUUCUUUAUGGCAAAUGUAACGUACCUAUAGAAGGUACACACAAAAGAAUAUUCAGCUCAGUGAGUGAUCAGAAGGCAAACACCUGCGUAACCACUCUUCAGUCGAGAAAUAGAAGUGUGCCAGGGUGCUGGCAGCCCUGGUCCUGCCCGUGCCUGCUCAGGAGGCCCUCCCACUCCUGCAACGGAUAAGCACUCCACCGACUUUUGUGGUGUGGGCUGGAGAUAGUAACUCACUUCUACUGCAUAGGAUGUGCCAGAAGGUAAUGGAUGUCACUUUCAAGAUGAGGUUACAAAAAGGCCUCUAUCUUGGGCACUCUCCCUUGCAUCCUCACCUGCUUACUGCGAGGGAAGCCCUGUAGUGAGCUAGUGGAAGGAGGUCUACCCAGCAAGGAACGGACACCUGACCACAACCAGUGAGGACCUGAG